rnacentral:rRNA from 1 species
AGUGAACGCUGGCGGUAGGCCUAACACAUGCAAGUCGAACGGCAGCACAGUAAGAGCUUGCUCUUACGGGUGGCGAGUGGCGGACGGGUGAGGAAUACAUCGGAAUCUACUUUUUCGUGGGGGAUAACGUAGGGAAACUUACGCUAAUACCGCAUACGACCUACGGGUGAAAGCAGGGAAUCUUCGGACCUUGCGCGAUUGAAUGAGCCGAUGUCGGAUUAGCUAGUUGGAGGGGUAAAGGCCCACCAAGGCGACGAUCCGUAGCUGGUCUGAGAGGAUGAGCAGCCACGCUGGAGCGGAGACACGGUCCAGACUUCUACGGGAGGCAGCAGUGGGGAAUAUGGGACAAGUGGCGCAAGCCUGAUCCAGCCAUACCGCGUGGGGGAAGAAGGCCUUCGGGUUGUAGAGCCCUUUUGUUGUGAAAGAAAAGCAGCAGGUUAAUAACCCGCUGUUCUGACGGUACCUAAAGAAGAAGCACCGGCUAACUUCGUG